rnacentral:rRNA from 1 species
AACGAACGCUGGCGGCGUGCCUAACACAUGCAAGUCGAGCGCGAAAAGGGCAACCUGAGUAGAGCGGCGCACGGGUGCGUAACACGUGGGUAAUCUGCCUCAAAGUUUGGGAUAACCUUCCGAAAGGUUGGCUAAUACCGGAUAAGCUCACGAGGUCUUCGGACUUUGUGGGAAAAGGUGGCCUCUAUUUAUAAGCCAUUACUUUGAGAUGAGCCCG